GUCCUGGGGUUUUACUGCACUUUAAAACUACAAUUCCAGAUCCUGUAACAGUUGAGAAAAAUCCAACAAUACGUUGCAGGACUGGAGAACAGCAUACCGACAAAGGAUCAC